ACGGGAGGCAGCAGUGGGGGAUAUUGCACAAUGGGCGAAAGCCUGAUGCAGCGACGCCGCGUGAGCGAAGAAGUAUUUCGGUAUGUAAAGCUCUAUCAGCAGGGAAGAUAAUGACGGUACCUGACUAAGAAGCACCGGCUAAAUACGUGCCAGCAGCCGCGGUACUACGUAUGGUGCAAGCGUUAUCCGGAUUUACUGGGUGUAAAGGGAGCGUAGGCGGUUGUACAAGUCUGAUGUGAAAGCCCGGGGCUCAACUCCGGUACUGCAAUGGAAACUGUAUAACUAGAGUGUCGGAGGGGUAAGUGGAAUUCCUAGUGUAGCGGUGAAAUGCGUAGAUAUUAGGAGGAACACCAGUGGCGAAGGCGGCUUACUGGACGAUUACUGACGCUGAGGCUCGAAAGCGUGGGGAGCAAACAGGAUUAGAUACCCUGGUA
rnacentral:rRNA from 1 species